UACGUAGGGCGCAAGCGUUGUCCGGAAUUAUUGGGCGUAAAGAGCUCGUAGGCGGUCUGUCGCGUCCGUUGUGAAAACUCGAGGCUCAACCUCGGGCUUGCAGUGGAUACGGGCAGGCUAGAGUGCGGUAGGGGAGACUGGAAUUCCUGGUGUAGCGGUGGAAUGCGCAGAUAUCAGGAGGAACACCGAUGGCGAAGGCAGGUCUCUGGGCCGCAACUGACGCUGAGGAGCGAAAGCGUGGGGAGCGAACAGG
rnacentral:rRNA from 1 species